ACUAAUUUUUGUAUUUUUAGUAGAGAUGGGGUUUCACCAUGUUGGCCAGCCUGCCCUCGAACUCCUGGGCCCAAGUGAUCUGCUCACCUCGGCCUCCUAAAGUUCUGCGAUUACAGGUGUGAGCCCCUUCGCCCAGCGUAUAUUUGAUUCUAUAGUGCUGAUAUUUUUGGUUUGAAAUGAACAGGCCUGGCUGCCUAGCAGUUGAGUGAUGCUGGUUAGCUGUUAAGGUGGAAGGUGGCCUGCUGCAGUGCAGAGUACUGAGCUGCUUCCUGUUUUCUUCUGUUUCCUCCUGAAAAAAAAAGAAGCCCUGUCCUGAAGAACAAAUGACUGUUCAAUUUAUUAAAAUGCCUGUCAACUGCCCUUCCAGUCACCCAGGCCUGGAAGAGAAAUAAUAGAGCAUGCAGUGAGCACAUCUAGCUGAUGAUAAUCACACCUCUUCCCCCUCUCUAUUCUGUUAAAUGGCAAAUCUGAUCAUAUCGACACACAUGAACUUAAAAUAUGGGGAAUGUUAUGGAAGAAAUGGCUUGUAACUUUGUAGGUACUUAUAACAUGGUGUAUGUUUUUGAUUAUGAAUAUUUCUUACUAUUACCAUGUUUCUAUUAUUAAAUUAAAAUGUUUUCUUGGUGUUACCUUUUCUCAAAAUAAAACUAGAAAUAUUUUAUAGAAA